rnacentral:lncRNA from 1 species
GUUCAUUCAGGUUUCUGGGUCAGGUCCCAGCUCUUAUUCUUAUUCCUAGAGGCUGAGCAUCUCAGUGGAUGGUUAAAAUCUCCAUGCUAAGGUAGACGGGAAGAGAGUUGUCAUGAGUGGGGUACAGGGAAAGGAAGAGAGUCACUGUUCCUUGAGCUGCCUGAGAUGGAAGAACACAGAGACUACAACCACAGGGGCGAAACCUAUCAGGGUUCAGAGUGGAGCCAAGACAGAAGGCUGUUACUGCCCACUACUUUUUCUGAAACUUUAACUUUCUUGAAGC